rnacentral:SRP_RNA from 1 species
GCCGGGCGUGGUGGCGCAUGCCUGUAAUCCCAGCUACUUGGGAGGCUGAGGCAGGAGAAUCGCUUGAACCCGGGAGAUGGAGGUUGCAGUGAGCCAACAUCUACCACGCCAUUGCACUCCAGCCUGGGCAACAAGAGCGAAACUCUGUCUCUA